rnacentral:rRNA from 1 species
UACGUAGGGUGCGAGCGUUGUCCGGAAUUACUGGGCGUAAAGAGCUCGUAGGUGGUUUGUCGCGUUGUUCGUGAAAACUCACAGCUUAACCGUGGGCGUGCGGGCGAUACGGGCAGACUGGAGUACUGCAGGGGAGACUGGAAUUCCUGGUGUAGCGGUGGAAUGCGCAGAUAUCAGGAGGAACACCGGUGACGAAGGCGGGUCUCUGGGCAGUAACUGACGCUGAGGAGCGAAAGCGUGGGGAGCGAACAGG